rnacentral:rRNA from 2 species
CGCUAGCGACAGGCCUAACACAUGCAAGUCGAGGGGCAGCACGGUGUAGCAAUACAUGGGUGGCGACCGGCGCACGGGUGAGUAACGCGUAUGCAACCUACCUACUACAAGAGGAUAACCCGUUGAAAGGCGGACUAAGACUCUAUAAUACAGGGGAUCCGCAUGGAUAUAUUUGUUAAAGAUAAAGCGGUAGUAGAUGGGCAUGCGUUCCAUUAGCUUGUUGGUGAGGUAACGGCUCACCAAGGCAACGAUGGAUAGGGGAACUGAGAGGUUGGUCCCCCACACUGGAACUGAGACACGGUCCAGA